UUAGACAAUGUGAUAAUAGUAAGUUAGUGAGUGGAUUUUGGAUCUGGCCUAUUAUUCCAUCACUGCUAGUUACUAAUCCAGAAGUUGUACUCGAGUUGGAGUGUGACUGAGUUUGGUGUCUUAAUCUCUAACCGAAAAUGUCACUCACCUUGCAAACUCCGCCCCCUGCAGCUCUCUCGUCUGCUGCAUCGUCUUCUUCCUCCAUUCACCGAACAACGAGAUCCACCUUCUCCUUCUCCCUCCGCUCCACACCUUCUCUAACUCUCCACUCCCUUCCUCAAACUCGCGCUUCAGCUUCCUCCAUCAAUACCGCGUCGACUACCGAACUCGAUGCUGUGUCCGCCUUCAGCGAGAUCGUUCCGGACACCGUCAUUUUCGAUGAUUUCGAAAAGUUUCCUCCAACUGCUGCUACUGUCAGUUCAUCGCUUCUCUUGGGAAUUUGUGGCCUUCCGGACACCAUAUUUAGGAAUGCUGUGGAGAUGGCUCUGGCUGAUUCCGAGUGUUAUGGACUUGAAAAUCCUAACGCGCGAUUGUCUUGUUUUGUCAACAAGGCCUUCGCGAAUGUUGGUAGUGACUUGGCAAAGCUUGUGCCUGGCCGUGUUUCGACGGAAGUGGAUGCACGGCUUGCUUAUGACACGCAUGCCAUUAUCAGGAAGGUGCAUGACCUAUUAAAGUUGUACAAUGAUAGUAAUGUACCUCCUCAUCGUCUGCUGUUUAAAAUUCCUUCAACUUGGCAAGGAAUAGAGGCUGCUAGGUUGCUGGAAUCUGAAGGCAUACAGACACAUUUGACCUUUGUCUACAGCUUUGCUCAAGCUGCCGCAGCAGCUCAAGCUGGUGCUUCUGUUAUUCAAAUUUUUGUUGGUCGCAUAAGGGAUUGGGCUCGCAAUCAUUCUGGUGAUACAGAGAUAGAAUCUGCCCAACUAAGAGGAGAGGAUCCAGGGUUGGCAUUGGUGACAAAAGCUUACAAUUAUAUUCACAAAUAUGGACAUAAGUCAAAGUUGAUGGCAGCAGCAGUUCGCAACAAACAGGAUCUAUUUAGUCUUCUGGGGAUUGACUAUAUCAUAGCUCCUUUAAAGGUAUUGCAGUCUCUCAAAGAAUCUGUUGCUUCUCCUGAUGAGAAGUACUCUUUUGAUAGGAGGUUAUCCCCUCAGUCUGCUGUCAAGCACGUGUUUAGUGAUGAAGAGCUUGUUAAAUGGGACCAAGAUAGCCUCGCAAACGCCAUGGGGCCUGCUGCUGUGCAGCUUCUGGCUGCUGGUCUGGAUGGUCAUGCUGAUCAAGCAAAGCGGGUGGAAGAUUUGUUUGGGAAAAUUUGGCCCCCACCAAAUUGCAACUCCUUAAUGAAGGAUGUUUGAAGAUGUCACUUUGAUUUUCCAAGGUAAACACGCUAUGAGCUCAAGUUCCAAGUUGUGUAUCAGACUCAACAUAAAGAUCAACUCAGAUGAAGAUAAGUAGUUCUUUUACCUAACUUUUGUUGGUGUGAAAAUGGGGAGUAGAUAUUUUAUAUAGUUUUUGAAAAUUGUAUUUUAGUUUUUGAAAAGUUAUUAGUUGUUUUGUAGUAACUAUAUUUUGCUCUACACAAGUUCAUACUUUUAUGCUUUGAACAUAAUUGCUCUAAUGAACAAGUUUUCAUUUAUGCACAUUCUUAGGGAGAGUGCUUUUUUUCACUUAGUCUCUUAUAUUUUGCUCUAAUAGUCAUGAGUGUUCACAUAUAUAUAUAUAUAUAUAUAUAUAUAUAUGUUUGUUUGUUUGUAUAUUUGAUAUGUCAUGUUCUGAUAGAAAUUUGCUUUUGCUUUGAUACAUACUUUCUGUUUUGCUUUGAAAUACAUUUGCUUUGAUGUUGUGUUAUACAUUUUCUUUGGAUAUGACUUAAUAUGAUUUUGCAAUCUCUAAUAUCUUGUUUGGAUAUGUGUUUCAUAUGAUCUCUUCAUAUUUACAAAGCUUUGAUGGAAAAUCAUUAUAUGAAUAAACUCUUUUCUUGUGAAAAUCACAACUUUUGUUGUGAUAUCAUGUGAUGUUUCUCAAAAUCGUCUCCAUGAAACCAAGUCUUUUUCUCAUAAUUUUUUUUAAAGUUUUUAGUAAAAAGAAACUACUUCUCCUUAUCUCCAAUAUCCCUCUAUUAGUUUGAAAAGAAAAAGUUUAGUCUUGCAUGUUUUUCUAUCAAAACCUUUAUUUCAAAAAUGAAUGCUUGUUACCAUUAAAAAGAAAGAGAAUGUUAUGUCAAAAGACAAUCCUAGAUCCCUCUAGUUUUAUGCUUUGCUAUUAACAAACAAAGCUUUUGAUAAAAAAUAUAAGUUUUAAAAAUGACUAAGACAAAUCUUCUACUAAAAUGCAACCUGUCAAUUAGUCGAAUCUUUGUAUAAGAUGAAGUACUCAUUAAAAUGUUGUGUUAUUGACUAAGAUGAACCUUUAGUCAUGAAAAGAGAUAUACAUUAAAUCCUUAUCAUUUAUCUUUAACCAAGGAAUUGACUAUGAAUGAAUGUUUCUUGAACUGAUCAAACUUAAAAAAUAGUUCCUCGAUACUAACACUCUAAUAAAAGGAAAGAAAGACAUGUUUUACAUCAGAAACGGACAAGCAGAUCCUUGCAAACACGAAAAACUGUAGUUAAAAGUUGUUUCAUCACUAUAGCAUCUUGACACAUGCAUGGUUCUACCUACUUGGUACCUAAAAGGUGACAAGUAGCUUUUUUGAUUAGAUAAGAAGCGACAACUUAGUAAAAGCAUUUAAUGCAAACAUUUAUUACAUCAAUAGACAAUUCUCUCCUCAAGAAGCAAAUCCUAAAGACAAACAAAACAAACCAUUAGAAAAAACUCAAGGGUUUACAAUGGUCAUUUUCAUUAAAGCACUACAUAAAGAAGUUUAAUGCUAAAAAAGAAGAGGACAAUGUGAUGAAAAAUCAAUUGUAAAAAGUCACAUUCUUUCUCGUAAAAAGUCUUUAUACUUUUUGUUGUAUCACGUCUUCAAAGGAAGACGAAACAAUUUUGUAAACCUUUGUAACUUUGAGUUAUAGGGUUUGAACCUAGAAAAACUUGUCUGAAAAAUAAUACUCAAGUUUGAGCCUAGAGAGACAUAUUUGUAAAAGAAUACUUGGUAUUGAAGUUUGAAGAGGCUUUGUGUAAAAAGAAUAUUUGGGUAGUUGCUUGAAAAGGCAAAUCAAAAAGCACUUAUUAGGGUUGAGUCAGAAAUGGCUUAGUAAAAAAUAACUGUAUCUUGAGUAAGAUAGUGAAACUUGAUCUGGUUGGAUCAAGAACUGGACGUAAUUUUGAUAGUUGAGAUGAUCCAAUAUAAAAACACCUUGUGUUCUAACUAUUUACCUUUUUUGUCUACACUCCUUACUAUAACAUUUUUACCUUAUUUUGCAAAAAAAUGUAACUUUUUUGAGUGACAUUAUUUAACCCCCUUUUAGUCUUUUUUUUUUUUAUUUCUCCAUAAUCAUUUUAACAACUUACAAUUUAAACAUCAUCAUAUAAUAUAUCAAUUUACAACAUACAAAUUCAUUAUCAUGCAUCACCCAUAUGACUUAUUCAUCAUCAUUCAACUAUAAAAGAACUUAAAACAAUAAAUUUUUACCAUGCAACUCACGCUUGACACUACUCAAAGGACCCCUGACGCCAUUGAGGUAGAAGGUUCUCUAUCUCGUCCACACCCGAUGCCAAACUACUUGUAUCUAGUAUGGUUGAGGCAAAGAGUCUCCUACUCUUUCACGCCUAGUGUGGAAAGAGCCCAUGCUCGACCUCAACGUGUAAGGGUCUCUUCACAAUUCAUGCCUGAUGCCACUCUAUUGGAGCCUAUCCUGAUUUCAACUCGAGAUGAUACUCUCUUCUCACAUUCGACGCCAUUCAAAUUACUCUCAACGUGAUUUCAACUUGAGAAGACUUUUUCCCUUCAUGCCCAGUGGCAACAAUGUUGCAUCCAACGUGGGGUUCAAAUCAAAGAGGAGAAGAGAAGAUGAAGACAAAGCAACCCUCUACACAAUUCUAACUGAAGAUCUUUAGCUCCACAAGUUUGGUUUUUCCUACCCAGUCAAGUGGAUCCCGCUACAGGAAGUGAGAAAAGAAAGGAUUUUAGUGAAAGGGAAGAAAAGGUUUCCAAGCUCUAAAGGACUUCUAUCUAGCUUUUUUUAGAACAUGAAAUUAUGAGCUCACAUAUCUUAAGAGAACCCUAACAUACUUUUCUUGAAGUUGA